rnacentral:rRNA from 1 species
UACGUAGGGACCGAGCGUUGUCCGGAAUCAUUGGGCGUAAAGAGCGUGUAGGCGGCCCGAUAAGUCCGCUGUGAAAGUCCAGGGCUCAACCCUGGAAUGCCGGUGGAUACUGUCGGGCUCGAAUCCGGAAGAGGUGAGUGGAAUUCCUGGUGUAGCGGUGAAAUGCGCAGAUAUCAGGAAGAACACCAAUGGCGAAAGCAGCUCCCUGGGACGGUACUGACGCUGAGACGCGAAAGCGUGGGGAGCGAACAGG